UCUUAUGACUUCUGGGGAAGUAAACAAGGUUGGCAAGGAUAGAGGACGCCCUGCAGAAAACUGAGAACUCACUGUGAAUACAGUCUGAUCCGUCCGUCCUCUACUACUGAAUGAUGGAAAAUGCACAGGUUUCAGUUGUGUCCGUGGGUCCGUUAGGGGUCGGUCCAGUCCAGGUCUCAUGUCCUAAAUGUCAUCAGACGGUUCUGUCCAAAGUGGACUACACCUCUGGUCUGCUCACAUACCUGUUCUGUGGAGGCCUCUUCUUCUGUGGCUUUGUUUUCGGCUGCUGCCUCAUCCCCUUUUGUGUGGAUCGACUGAAAGAUGCGAAACACUCCUGUCCAACUUGCAAGACUGUUCUUGGCGUCUAUAAACGUUUAUAACUUAGAGGAUGUUCAACUUCCAAACACUCAGUAUCCAAGAAACUGUGUCUGAUCUAAUCACACUCUGAUCAUAAUGAGUAGUCACUUAUUAACCUAUAAACCAGUUUUUGUUUUCUUUUAUUCAUUUGUUACUUGCUGUGUAGUUUUAAGUAUUAGACUUAGACUCGAACCAACUU